rnacentral:tRNA from 1 species
UGGGGAAUAGCUCAGUGGUAGAGUGCAUGCUUAGCAUGCAUGAAGUCCUGGGUUCAAUCCCCAGUGCCUCCA